GACCAGGGGUAGAGAGAGAGAGAGGGAGAAACCAGGGGUAGAGAGAGAGAGGGAAGGACAACAGUUGAAUGUUGACAGAGCGAGUGAGGAGAUUAAUCGGGAGAGAAACAAAAAGGAGGAGAGAGAGGGGAAAAAAGAGAGAAAGUGUAGAAAACAAAUAGAUACACAUUGACAGAGUGGACUGGACUGGACUUCAAUGAAGCUCUGACAUCAGCUAAAUAAAGGGAGAGAAGAGAGAGCGUGAGAAAGGAGGUCACUGCAGUCCAAAGUAGGCGCUGUGCACUAUAGUUCGCUUAUGCAGGAGAGUUAGGACUAACACAGACAGACAUUCACUGCACGAUUGAACCAUGUUGAUGAAGGAGUAUAGAAUAUGCAUGCCACUAACUGUGGAAGAGUAUAAGAUCGGGCAGCUGUACAUGAUCAGCAAACACAGUAGUGAGCAGAGCGGAGGAGGGGAGGGGGUGGAGGUGGUGAGGAACCAACCAGACUCACAUCCCCAACACGGCCUGGGACAGCUUACUGAGAAACGCAUCUACCUCAGCAGUAAACUGCCAUCCUGGGUGAGUGUGUUUGUCCCCAGGGUAUUCUAUGUGACAGAGAAAGCCUGGAACUUCUAUCCUUACACCAUCACAGAGUACUCAGUGUCGUUCCUUCCCAAGUUCAGCAUCCGUAUUGAGACCAGGUUCGAGAACAACAAUGGCGACAACAAUAAUGUAUUCGGGGACAGGCCCACCCCUGCAGAGAGCGUGAGCCACCUGGAUAUCCUUGUUGACCCCAUCCCUGACAAACACUACAAGGAGACAGAGGACCUGAGUCGCUGGGUUUCUGAGAAGACGGGCAGAGGCCCCCUGGUGGAAGGGUGGUGGAAGGACAGCGCCCCCAUCAUGUGCUCCUAUAAGAGGGUGAAGUGCAGUUUCGAAGUCUACGGCCUCCAGGGCAAGACUGAGGACUUCAUACACAGGGUGAGAGGAAACUACAUUUACCAUCAUGCAUCAGAACAUCCAGGACAUCCUACUGGUGGGACACAGACAGGCUGUGGCCUGGACAGACGAAUGGCACGGGAUGAGUUUGGAAGAUGUGAGAGAGUUUGAGCAACAGAUACAGGAACAGACCAACAGCAAACUCAAAUCAACCCAGAACAACAACACAGCCCCUCGUCCGGCGUUCUCCCGCUCUAUGUCCGUCACAGACGAGCGCUCUCUGAAGAAGAUGGGAGUGAAGACUAUAGCCAUGUCAGACCCCUCCACCUCCACACUGCCUCAUACCACUGUCCGCCUUAACUCCACCCCUGAGUAACACACACACGUUCAUGUUCAUACAGAUGCACCAAUUCCUGCCUGCCUUAAACCCCUCAGUGACAGUAACUACACUGCUACAGUUCCUUUUUUUAUUACACCAUCCACCACAAACACACUUAACCAAUAAAGCUACACCGUCAACAGAAGCAGCACUUAGAGCACUCACAUGCCUACCCCUAUAUCCAGCUGUAACUAUAUAACCCAUACACCCAACCCGGUCCUACCCCUUUCUCCAGCUGUAACUAUAUAACCCAUACACCCAACCCCCGGUCCUACCCCUUGCUCCAGCUGUAACUAUAUAACCCAUACACCCAACCCCCGGUCCUACCCCUUUCUCCAGCUGUAACUAUAUAACCCAUACACCCAACCCCUGGUCCUACCCCUUUAUCCAGCUGUAACUAUAUAUGAUGUAGAGCUUACUCAAUAUACUGUGUAGGGCUUACUCAAUAUACUGAGUAGCGCUUACUCAAUAUACUGUGUAGAGCUUACUCAAUAGACUGUGUAGAGCUUACUCAAUAGACUGUGUAGAGCUUACUCAAUAGACUGUGUAGAGCUUACUCAAUAGACUGUGUAGAGCUUACUCAAUAGACUGUGUAGAGCUUACUCAAUAGACUGUGUGGAGCUUACUCAAUAGACUGUGUGGAGCUUACUCAAUAGACUGUGUAGAGCUUACUCAAUAGACUGUGUGGAGCUUACUCAAUAGACUGUGUAGAGCUUACUCAAUAGACUGUGUAGAGCUUACUCAAUAGACUGUGUAGAGCUUACUCAAUAGACUGUGUAGAGCUUACUCAAUAGACUGUGUAGAGCUGACUCAAUAGACUGUGUAGAGCUGACUCAAUAGACUGUGUAGAGCUUACUCAAUACACUGUGUAGAGCUUACUCAAUAGACUGUUUAGAUCUUACUCGAUAGACUGUGAGACUUACUCAAUAGACUGUGUAGAGAGAAAGAAAGAAGUGUUGACACGUGCUGCAGUGGGACCUGAAGACUGUAGGCUAUACUAUAAGAACAUUCUCUCUCUUCCUCUCUCUCUUCCGCUCUCUCUCCUCUUGCUUUACUACCCCUUUCUCUGCCUCUCUCUGUUCCUGCACUCCUUUCCUCAGGAGGGCCUCUCCACAGAAGAUGUACUGUGUUCAUUAUAUAGAAAUGUUCCCCUGGCAGAUGCUUAUAGAUCCUGACCAUGUAGUGCUGAAUCAUACUGCUGCUGUUCUGUUCUACUGCUGUGCUGCUCAAGAGAGAGAGAGAGAGAGCGAGCGAAAGAGAGAAAGAGAGAAAGAGAGAAAGAAAGAAAGCGAGAAAGAAUGUAAAAAGUAACCAAAAGGGAGAAGGAAACAUUGGAGAGGGAUUAAAAAUGGAAGAGAAAAGGACUGGUGGUAUUUGUUUCGACAUCCUCCCCUCCAUCUCUAUACCCCUUUGGCCUAACCCGACUGAUGUACCAGCUUUACUGAAUACAUCCAUACACACUCUACACUCUGCAGCUCUGUAAUGCAAAUGUCCCAUUCAUGUCUACACACCAGGGUCACAACACUGAUUCAUAAAGGCCUGUGCGUGCGUGUGUGUGUGUGCGUAUGUGUGUAGGUACGUGUGUGUGUGCGCGCACCCAUUCUUCCUUGUUUCUGUCUCAGCUAUGAGUAAAUAGCCAGCCUGCACCCUAAGUAUGUUAUUCAUUCCGGUGUCAGCAUUAACGUCAUUAGGCCUCUCAAUCAUAUAAAUAGCUCUAAAUCCACUGUGAAUUAAACUCCACUGUGGGGAACACAAUUUGUAACCUCUGCCCAGGAGUAACUGGAGUGGACUUUAUCUGGGGACAGGCAGACUUUUACAUUCAUACAGUAUCCCUGAUAACUGAUUGUACCAAUUAAGGGGCUGAAUAUGGCUUGCAAUGGGAAUCUGCAUACAUCCAUCCCCUGUGGAAUAGACUUAAAGACCGCUGGCUCUACACGUUAAUCGUUUCUAUUGAAAACGGUUGAGGACCGUCUCUCUCUGUACAGUUACUGUCCUGCAGUCAGUUAGUGAGGCAUUAAUGCCGACCUGUUUUAUGCUGUGAAAUCCUCAGCAACUGAUUCCAGCGAAGCUAUUCUGGUAAUGCUGGAUUUAAUUGCUUACGGAUAACAGAAAACUCAAGGAUAAUUGCUAAAUUUUUGUGAUUUUGGGUUAGACACUCUACAUAAACACACACACACACACACACACACACACACACACACACACACACACACACACACA